rnacentral:rRNA from 1 species
CGGACGGGUGAGUAAUGUCUGGGAAACUGCCUGAUGAGGGGGAUAACUACUGGAAACGGUAGCUAAUACCGCAUAACGUCGCAAGACCAAAGAGGGGGACCUUCGGGCCUCUUGCCAUCGGAUGUGCCCAGAUGGGAUUAGCUAGUAGGUGGGGUAACGGCUCACCUAGGCGACGAUCCCUAGCUGGUCUGAGAGGAUGACCAGCCACACUGGAACUGAGACACGGUCCAG